rnacentral:rRNA from 1 species
GAUGAACGCUGGCGGCGUGCCUAAUACAUGCAAGCCGAGCGAACAGACGAGGAGCUUGCUCCUCUGACGUUAGCGGCGGACGGGUGAGUAACACGUGGAUAACCUACCUAUAAGACUGGGAUAACUUCGGGAAACCGGAGCUAAUACCGGAUAAUAUAUUGAACCGCAUGGUUCAAUAGUGAAAGACGGUUUUGCUGUCACUUAUAGAUGGAUCCGCGCCGCAUUAGCUAGUUGGUAAGGUAACGGCUUACCAAGGCGACGAUGCGUAGCCGACCUGAGAGGGUGAUCGGCCACACUGGAACUGAGACACGGUCCAGACUCCUACGGGAGGCAGCAGUAGGGAAUCUUCCGCAAUGGGCGAAAGCCUGACGGAGCAACGCCGCGUGAGUGAUGAAGGUCUUCGGAUCGUAAAACUCUGUUAUUAGGGAAGAACAAAUGUGUAAGUAACUAUGCACGUCUUGACGGUACCUAAUCAGAAAGCCACGGCUAACUACGUG